UGUUUAUCAAAAACAUGGCUUCCUUGUGGGGGUUAAGAAGGGAGGUCUGGCCUGCCCGGUGGAUAAGUUCUAAACGGUUGCAGCUGCCACUGUACUAAGGUAGCAUAGUAGGUCGUCCUUUAAUUGGGGGAAAGUAUGAAUGGUCGGAUGUUGGAGAAACUUUAUUGUGGGUACAUGUUGAAUUUUACUUCGCGGUGCAAAGGCCGCGAUGAGUUUAUUAGACGAGAAGACCCUGUUGAGCUUGGUAUGUUCGUUGCUUAAAGCAGGGAGGCUAUGUUUGUUCGGGGCUGAAGGGAAGGGAAAAGGACGCCUUCUAAGGUUAUAUAUAGAUCCAGCAAGGUUGAUAAGUAGAAGAUAGUUACCACAGGGAUAACAGCGCAAUCUUCCUGGUAAGGCCAUAUUUAAGGGAUGGUUUGCGACCUCGAUGUUGAAUCAGGAUUUCUGCUAGGUGCAGCAGCUUAGUAAGUAGGACUGUUCGUCCUUUAAAAUCCUACGUGAUCUGAGUUCAGACCGG
rnacentral:rRNA from 1 species